rnacentral:misc_RNA from 1 species
CUAUGUCCCAUUGACUGUGUUGGAUGAUACCGAUCUUUUGUUUUUAUCACCCUCCCUUUUUUCUUUUUCUUCCAUAGAAAUUCGGCGUAAGUGUGUGACAGUACAUAACAGUCAUGGUGAGAAACUGGUGGGCGUGCUACAUGAAACAAAUUCCCUGGAGCUUGUAAUUAUCUGCCACGGUUUCAAAUCAUCGAAGGAUCGGAUUCCCAUGGUGAAUCUUGCUGCUGCUUAUGAGAAAGAAGGAAUCAGUGCCUUCCGCUUUGACUUUGCAGGAAAUGGUGAAAGCGAAGGUUCCUUUCAGUAUGGUAACUACCGCAGAGAAGCUGAUGAUCUUCGUGCCAUAGUCGAGCACUUCCAUAAGGAGGAGCGUUUCAUAGCAGCAAUAGUUGGUCAUAGCAAAGGAGGAAAUGUUGUACUCUUGUAUGCUUCGAACUACAAGGAUGUACAAACUGUCAUCAAUAUUUCUGGGCGCUUCAAUCUUGAGAGAGGGAUAGAGCAUCGCUUGGGCAGAGACUUCAAAGAGAAGAUAAAGCAUAACGGUUUUAUUGAUGUUAGAAAUAGAAAAGGAAGGUUCAAGUAUCGUGUCACUGAGGAAAGUUUGAUGGACCGUCUAACAACUGAUACUCGUGGAUCAUGUCAAAGUAUCACCAAUAACUGCAGGGUAUUGACGGUCCAUGGUUCAAUGGAUGAAAUGGUGCCAGUUGAAGAUGCUAUGGAAUUUGCCAAGAAUGUGUCAAAUCAUAAAUUACAAAUUAUUGAAGGAGCUGAUCAUGAAUUCACUUUGCAUCAAGAUGAGUUGUCUUCCGUUGUGGUUGCUUUUGUGAAAGCAGGUUUAGGUGGAAGAAACUACAUGGCUAU